rnacentral:tRNA from 1 species
GCGAGGGGCAGCUUUAGUGAAACGCCGCCUUGAUUUUGCUCGAAGCUUCCCAAGCUGAAUACGAGGGUUCGAUUCCCUUCGCCCGCUCCA